CGGCAGGGAGUAGACAAUAAAAAAUGCAGUGGGGGGCUGGGGAUUUAGCUCACCGGCAAAGCGCCUGCCUGGCAAGCGCAAGGUCGUGAGUUCGGUUCCUGGUACCGGAGAAAACAAAAACAAAAACAAAAACAAAACAAAACAAAACAAAACAAAAAAAUGCAGUGGGAUGUGAAACAAGAAGGCAGAGCACCAUUACCAGUUUUGACUUUCAUGGGGAAUGUGCCCUCAGGUGACUGAAGUUUUACACCACUCUUUUUUUUUUUUUUUUUUGAUACAGGGUCUCAUUAUGUAGCCCAGACUGGCCUCAAACUCAUGGCAAUCUUCCUGCCUGAGCCUCUUGAGUGCUGAGAAUUACAGGUGAGCACCACCACACCUGGCAUGCUUUACACCGUUCUGCACAGAGUCACGAAUGACUGCAAAGCACUGUUACGGGAGGAUGGGUUCAGCAGAUAAGGUCCAGGCUCUUGUGUAUGAUGAGCAAAGAAUUGGAAGCACACAGCCAAUGGCAAGUGAAAAACAGCUACUUUUGCUGAAGAUCACAGGAAGAAGUGCCCAGGGCAAGUCCAUACCAACAGAACAUGUGGUACAAACAGAAAAGUGGAGCCAGGAUGACAAGAAUGUAUAAACAUAGCACACAGACAAACCAGACUUUUAGAGUUUUAAGGAUGUGCAUGCCACCUCAGGUGCCUCCCAUCAGAUCUCUGGGGCUGCAAAGGGAGCGCAGGGUUCAGGGAUCAUUAAGAGAAAUACACGUAGGUAUGUUGGGAGACAAAAUAAUUUUUAUUAGAAAAUUCUAAUAGCCUAACAUAAAACUAGGAUACUGAAUAAUAUGUUACAGAUUCAAAUCAUAGAGCUGUCCCAACAUCUAGACC
rnacentral:lncRNA from 1 species